GUUGUAUGGUUAAGUGACUAAGCGUACACGGUGGAUGCCUUGGCAGUUGGAGGCGAUGAAGGACGUAUUAACUUGCGAUAAGCCUAGUCAAGCUAGUAAAAAGCACUUGAGUCUACGAUUUCCGAAUGGGGAAACCCACGUGCUUGCAGGUAUCGUUAACUGAAUACAUAGGUUAACGAGGCGAACGCGGAGAACUGAAACAUCUAAGUACCCGUAGGAAAAGAAAUCAACCGAGAUUCCGGAAG
rnacentral:rRNA from 1 species